rnacentral:tRNA from 1 species
GCCGAGAUGGCGGAACUGGCAGACGCGCUGGACUCAAAAUCCAGUGGACCGGAAAGGUUCGUGUGGGUUCAAGUCCCACUCUCGGCACCA